rnacentral:rRNA from 1 species
AUACGUAGGUGACAAGCGUUAUCCGGAUUUACUGGGCGUAAAGGGCGUGUAGGAGGUCUUGCAAGUCAGAAGUGAAAUUCCUGAGCUCAACUCGGGCGCUGCUUCUGAAACUGCAGGACUUGAGUGCUGGAGGGGAUAGCGGAAUUCCUAGUGGAGCGGUAAAAUGCGCAGAUAUUAGGAAGAACACCGGUGGCGAAGGCGGCUAUCUGGACAGUAACUGACGCUGAGGCGCGAAAGCGUGGGGAGCAAACAGGAUUAGAUACCCUGGGAGUCCACGCCGUAAACGAUGAAUACUAGGUGUAGGGGGUAUCGACUCCCUCUGUGCCGCAGUUAACACAAUAAGUAUUCCGCCUGGGCAGUACGGCCGCAAGGUUGAAACUCAAAUGAAUUGACGGGG